UACGGAGGGUGCAAGCGUUAUCCGGAUUCACUGGGUUUAAAGGGUGCGUAGGUGGGCAGUUAAGUCAGUGGUGAAAUCUCCGGGCUUAACCCGGAAACUGCCAUUGAUACUAUCUGUCUUGAAUACCCUGGAGGUGAGCGGAAUAUGUCAUGUAGCGGUGAAAUGCUUAGAUAUGACAUAGAACACCCAUUGCGAAGGCAGCUCACUACGGGAAUAUUGACACUGAGGCACGAAAGCGUGGGGAUCAAACAGGA
rnacentral:rRNA from 1 species